CAAAACCAAAACCAAAAACAAACAAACCAAGUUUUGCCAGCAGAGGGAGACAUGACUAUGUGACAGAAUUACUGGAUGAGCUCCAAUUUCUGGGCUAUCAAUCGUUAUGCAAUUACCUAACUGUAUGAGUUAUUACCUAACUAUAGGAGUCUACCAAAUGUGUCCAAGCUUGAUUUCUCAUUGUGCCUCUUUCCUCUGCAGCUUCCUGUCUACAAUCUCUGCUGUAAUUUCUGGUGAACAGGAUUUGUCAACCUAAAUAAAAAAAUCAUAGAAAAAUCUGAAAAUUAAGACUCUGGAUAUUAUAAAAAGAACAGUUCAUAGUUGUUCCCCUUUACUGAGAACCUAAUGGGUGGGUCACAGAUGUUUUAUCUAAUCUUCACAUUCACUUACCUGGUAAGUGGCUGCACUGGAACUUGAGCCUAAUUCCUCCCACUCGAAAGACAGUGUUUUUCCUACCACCCUGUCCUAAGCCCUGAGGCUCAGCCCUCAAUCCACCUCUAUCUGGUCUAACUCUACCUUCCUCUUUCAACACUACCUGCCUCCUCCAGACCUAGGGGCCUCUUCCUUUCCUUACCUUCUGGGGCAAUUUGUACGAUGUGCAAUUACCAUCUGCUUUUUUAAAUGGUGCUAUCCAUCCAUCUAUGAAUAUAUUGUGUCUCCCCAACUCGAGUUCUUCUAAUUUGCUAUAAGUAAGUGUCUUGUUCCAAAAGUAAUUUAAGAACAUUUUUAAAAGAGUUUUGACCAAACUCUAUAUAGAAUUGUCUCAAUUUUGUUUUAAAGCAUCGUACAUGUUGACUCCUCUUCCUCUUACCCUAAAUACAAUUCAUCAACAAAUGCUAUCCCGGUUCUACUUAGAAAAUCUGUUGAUCCUGAUUCCAAAACUCUCCAUGCUACCACCACUACCCUCUUAGUCCAUGCCCCCUACAUCUCUCACCUGCACGCUGCAGUAGUAUUUUAACAGGAACCCCUGGUUCCACCCUUAUCCUCCUACUCUUCCUCUGCGACAGAACAGCUAGAGUCUUCCUUCAGAACUACAUAUCAAAUCAUCCUACCUCCUCCUCUCCAUCCUCCAAUGACGUCUCAUCCCUCUCAGAACG
rnacentral:lncRNA from 1 species